CGGCGAGUGAGCGGGAUGAGCUCAAAUUUAAAAUCUGGCUGGUUUACUAGUCCGAAUUGUAGUUUAUAGAAGCGUUUUCGGUGGCAGCCUGGGUAUAAAUCCUUUGGAAUAGGGUAUCAUAGAGGGUGAGAAUCCCGUCUUUGACUCAGUGCAUGCUACUAUGUGAUACGUUUUCAAAGAGUCGAGUUGUUUGGGAAUGCAGCUCAAAAUGGGUGGUAAAUUUCAUCUAAAGCUAAAUAUUGGCGAGAGACCGAUAGCGAACAAGUACCGUGAGGGAAAGAUGAAAAGAACUUUGAAAAGAGAGUUAAACAGUGCGUGAAAUUGUUGAAAGGGAAACGUUUGACACCAGUUAUGCGGGUGGAAAAUCAGUCUUUUGCAAUGGGGAGUUGUGGGCGUUCAGACCGCAAGGCUGGCGUUUGCUUCAUCUUUGUUGUAAGUGAUGCACUUUUUCAUUUGCAGGUCAACAUCAGUUUGCUUUGCUGGACAAAACCCCAAGGGAAGGUGGCAGCUUAGGCUGUGUUAUAGCCCUGGGGCGAUACAGUGGAGUGGACUGAGGUUUCGCAGUGUGUGCUCUCGGGCAAGGCUGACUGGGUGCUAUGGGAUCGUUCGGCGUACAAUGCAUGCAUUUUGCGUCGUGUCUUUUUCAUACUCGCUCAACUCGGCUCUUCCACACUUAGGAUGUUGACUUAAUGGUUUUAAACGACCCGUCUG
rnacentral:rRNA from 1 species